rnacentral:lncRNA from 1 species
GAAAAUCUGAAAUUUUUGAUCACUCAACCCAAUUAAGUUUCCUCUCCUCUUCGCUACCCAAUUCUCAUAACUCUACAAAUCUCAUCCCGAUUCAGUAUAAAAGCCCUAGUUUCCUUUCAUCUGGUUUUAUUGAAAUCCCCUUUCUCUCCUCCGCAUUCUUUAUUUAGGGUUUUGCUCUGUAAAGCCAACUCACACAACACAGACACAAGAAGAGUAGAAUCAAUUAUGCGUACAUCUUGGGCCGAUUCGGAAGAAGCUGAAGCCGCAGCAGUACCUUCCACCAUCAUCAACAAUGGAGUAGUACCAAACAGUGGCGCCGCCGCCGCCGCCGCCGUUUCCGGCAACUCUCGUCCCGCCCGAUCAGCAUACGUUCCGCCACAUCUUCG